GACGAACGCUGGCGGCGUGCCUAAUGCAUGCAAGUCGAGCGGGCUACGAUCUUCGGAUUGUAGCUUAGCGGCGAACGGGUGAGUAACACGUAGGUAAUCUACCCUUCAGAGGAGGACAACCUCAGGAAACUGAGGCUAAACCUUCAUACGUUCACUGGUAGGGAUACUGGUGAAGAAAGAGUUACCUUAAAGGUAGCUGCUGAAGGAUGAGCCUGCGGCCCAUCAGGUAGUUGGUGAGGUAACGGCUCACCAAGCCGAAGACGGGUAACCGGUCUGAGAGGAUGUCCGGUCACACUGGGACUGAGACACGGCCCAGACUCCUACGGGAGGCAGCAGCAGGGAAUCUUGGGCAAUGGGCGAAAGCCUGACCCAGCGACGCCGCGUGGAGGAAGAAGUCCGUUCGGGGCGUAAACUCCUGGACUGGGGGACGAGGAAGGACGGUACCCCAGUAGAAAGGGACGGCUAACUACGUG
rnacentral:rRNA from 1 species